CCCUUAGAUGUUCUGGGCCGCACGCGCGCUACACUGACGAAGUCAGCGAGCAUGUCCUACGCCGACAGGUGCGGGGAAUCUUGUCAAACUUCGUCGUGAUGGGGAUUGAUUUUUGAAAUUCUUGAUCAUAAACGAGGAAUUCCUAGUAAGCGCAAGUCAGCAGCUUGCGUUGAUUACGUCCCUGCCCUUUGUACACACCGCCCGUCGCUACUACCGAUUGAAUGGUUUGGUGAGAUCUUCGGAUUGGCGCCACUGCAGCUCAGCAAUGGGCUUGGUGGAUGCCGAAAAGUUGAUCAAACUUGAUCAUUUAGAGGAAGUAAAAGUCGUAACA
rnacentral:rRNA from 1 species